rnacentral:lncRNA from 1 species
UCCAAGGCAGAAGAGCGGUAAGGGCUAGGCAAUUGGGCUUCAGUGACUUGCCCAGGGUCACAUAGUUAGGCAGUGUCUGAGCUCAGGUUUGAACUCAAGACCUCCUCUCUCUCUAGAUCUGGCUCUCAAUCCACUGAGCUACCCAGCUGCCCUGGUCUCUGCCUCUCUUAACAUAACCUGAGAUCACACUGGCUUCUUAGCCACCAUCUAUAAGGUGGACGCCUGUAAGCUUGUGGUCCAUUGAAACCUCCUGAUCUUUUUCAGAGGAACUGGGGGUCAAGUCCUGCUUCUUAACUUAUAUAAUUAUUAAACACCCAAUUUGGGGAGGUUCCCAGGUGUUGUACGCACUCAGCUAAAGUUGUUUCCUCCGCCCAGUAAACAAAAUAAUUCAAAGAAGGCCCUGGCUUACCACCAAAAGUUAGCAAAGUCAACAACUUUCCUUGCCUUUGAUGUUCUUCCUUUUGGGGCUAGGGGCGUCAGGGAGCCCUUUGAUGUGGGAAUUCUCCUUAGUGGAAUCUUUCGCACAAAUGGCCCAUUGUUCUGAAGUGCCUGAUAGGCUGAGAGGUGUGAGGGAGUGGGAGGGGCUUCCCUCAAUAUUUUGACUCCUGAUUGGAUGUCUUCCUUUCAGAGGGAGGAGGGAGAAGAACAGAGAGAUACAGUUAAAGCUGCUUCUUCCUUGGGAGGGGCAAAGUGCAUCUGGAUGCCCUCCGUGACUGUGAACGGAGCUGGGCGCUGAAUUCAUCACAGAAUCGCCUUGUUUCCAGAUUGGAGAAGGGAAUUGGGGUAGAGGGAGGUGGGCUGCUCUUCACCGAGCCUGAGAGAAGCUCUACAUUGCAGUCAGAGGAUUUGCAUUCCGUCCCACCCGCAUGACUUUGACAUCCUCCCAGCAGCGUGGCCAUGUGGCCGUGAAUGAUGGAAGUCAAUGCUGGAAUUCACGGCCCCCAGAAGACUCCGAGUGCAGGUGACCCGGAAGUGCACUUUCAUUUAUCACUUGCAAGCAUGUUACUCUGGGCCAUGAGGAGUUGGGAAGAGCAUGAGGAAUGGGGGCGCAAGCCAAUUGCGAUAAAUCAGGACGACGUCGUAUGAUAAACGAUUCAGUGAAGCGUGAUAGAUGGAGAGC